GCAUUAAUGGGGUAGUGGUAACCUGGGUCAUUGCCAUGAGGAUUUCAUAUCUGUUUGUGUUUACCUAUAUUGACCUGCUGGGGGUUCAAUUCCCUCUUAAUGCA
rnacentral:tRNA from 1 species